rnacentral:tRNA from 1 species
GGGCGUUUAGCUCAGUGGUAGAGCGUUCCGUUCACAUCGGAAAGGUCGCAGGUCCGAUCCCUGCAACGCCCACAA